rnacentral:misc_RNA from 1 species
GAAAUGCGAUAAGUAAUGUGAAUUGCAGAAUUCAGUGAAUCAUCGAAUCUUUGAACGCAUCUUGCGCUCAUUGGUAUUCCUUGGAGCAUGCCUGUUUGAGUAUCAUGAAAUCUUCAAAGUAAAUCUUUUGUUAACUCAAUUGGUUUCUACUUUGGUAUUGGAGGUCUUUGCAGCUUCACACCUGCUCCUCUUUGUUCAUUAGCUGGAUCUCAGUGUUAUGCUUGGUUCCACUCGGCGUGAUAAGUUAUCUAUCGCUGAGGACACUGUAAAAGGUGGCCAAGGUAAAUGCAGAUGAACCGCUUCUAAUAGUCCAUUGACUUGGACAAUACUUUUAUGAUCUGAUCUCAAAUCAGGUAGGACUACCCGCUGAACUUAAGC